rnacentral:rRNA from 1 species
GACGAACGCUGGCGGCGUGCUUAACACAUGCAAGUCGAACGGAAAGGCCCUGCUUUUGUGGGGUGCUCGAGUGGCGAACGGGUGAGUAACACGUGAGUAACCUGCCCUUGACUUUGGGAUAACUCCAGGAAACUGGAGCUAAUACCGGAUAGGAGCUCCUGCUGCAUGGUGGGGGUUGGAAAGUUUCGGCGGUUGGGGAUGGACUCGCGGCUUAUCAGCUUGUUGGUGGGGUAGUGGCUUACCAAGGCUUUGACGGGUAGCCGGCCUGAGAGGGUGACCGGCCACAUUGGGACUGAGAUACGGCCCAGACUCCUACGGGAGGCAGCAGUGGGGAAUAUUGCACAAUGGGCGGAAGCCUGAUGCAGCAACGCCGCGUGCGGGAUGACGGCCUUCGGGUUGUAAACCGCUUUCGCCUGUGACGAAGCGUGAGUGACGGUAAUGGGUAAAGAAGCACCGGCUAACUACGUG